rnacentral:rRNA from 1 species
GACGAACGCUGGCGGCGUGCUUAACACAUGCAAGUCGAACGAUGAAGCCGCUUCGGUGGUGGAUUAGUGGCGAACGGGUGAGUAACACGUGGGCAAUCUGCCCUGCACUCUGGGACAAGCCCUGGAAACGGGGUCUAAUACCGGAUACGACCAUCGGCCGCAUGGCCUGGUGGUGGAAAGCUCUGGUGGUGCAGGAUGAGCCCGCGGCCUAUCAGCUGGUUGGUGGGGGGAUGGCCUACCAAGGCGACGACGGGUAGCCGGCCUGAGCGGGCGACCGGCCACCAUGGGACUGAGACACGGCCCAGGAUCCUACGGGAGGCAGCAGUGGGGAAUAUUGCACAAUGGGCGCAAGCCUGAUGCAGCGACGCCGCGGGAGGGAUGACGGCCUUCGGGUUGUAAACCUCUUUCAGCAGGGAAGAAGCUUUCGGGUGACGGUACCUGCAGAAGAAGCACCGGCUAACUACGUGCCAGCCGCCGCCGUAA